AAAUUUGGCAGCUUUCUGCUUGAAUUUAAUCCUGGACACAGCAGGCAAAUGGCAGAGGUGAACACAGACUCUUGGAAAAAGCUAAAGAAGAAAUAAUUCUCCUUGAUGUAUUUAUCCUCAAUCUGGAAAGGCUAUGACAGCAGUUAUGACUGAUAGCUAUUUCUGAGCAUCCUAAUUUCCUAAGUUAGUUUUUUCCACAAAUGAAUAUUACUGGUUCUUUAACUAAUUCUGAACCACAUCUCUCUGAAUACAAACAAGAGAAACUGCAAAAUAAAUAUAAAAUCUCAUUUUUA